rnacentral:rRNA from 1 species
GACGAACGCUGGCGGCAUGCCUAACACAUGCAAGUCUAGGGGUAGCAAUACCACUGGCGCACGGGUGAGUAACACGUAGGUUAUCUGCCCCCAUCACAGACAUAACCCCGGGAAACCGGGGCUAAUAUCUGAUGAGGUCGCGAGAUCAAAGCUUCGGCGGAUGGGGAGUGAGCCUGCGGCUGAUUAGCUAGUUGGUGAGGUAAUGGCUCACCAAGGCGACGAUCAGUAGCUGGUCUGAGAGGACGAACAGCCACACUGGAACUGAGACACGGUCCAGACUCCUACGGGAGGCAGCAGUGAGGAAUAUUGGUCAAUGGGAGCAAUCCUGAACCAGCAAUGCCGCGUGUGGGAUGACAGGGCUUCGCCUUGUAAACCACUGUCGGACGGGACGAAAGGAGGCCUCGGGCCGUCUGGGACGGUACCGUCAAAGGAAGGGUCGGCUAACUACGUGCCAGCAGCCGCGGUAAU